rnacentral:rRNA from 1 species
UACGUAGGGUGCGAGCGUUAAUCGGAAUUACUGGGCGUAAAGCGUGCGCAGGCGGUUUUGUAAGCCAGGUGUGAAAUCCCCGGGCUCAACCUGGGAAUGGCAUUUGGGACUGCAGGGCUGGAGUGCGGCAGAGGAGACUGGAAUUCCUGGUGUAGCAGUGAAAUGCGUAGAUAUCAGGAGGAACACCGAUGGCGAAGGCAGGUCUCUGGGCUGACACUGACGCUCAUGCACGAAAGCGUGGGGAGCAAACAGG